GGCUGUGGCGUAGUGGUUUGAGUGUUGUACUGUGAAUCUGGAGACCAGGGUUCAAUUACCUGUUUGGCCA